rnacentral:rRNA from 1 species
GAUGAACGCUGGCGGCGUGCCUAAUACAUGCAAGUCGAGCGAACGGACGCGAAGCUUGCUUCUCUGAUGUUAGCGGCGGACGGGUGAGUAACACGUGGAUAACCUACCUAUAAGACUGGGAUAACUUCGGGAAACCGGCGCUAAUCCCGGAUAAUCUUUUGAACCGCAUGGUUCAAAAGUGAAAGACGGUCUUGCUGUCACUUAUAGAUGGAUCCGCGCUGCAUUAGCUAGUUGGUAAGGUAACGGCUUACCAAGGCAACGAUGCAUAGCCGACCUGAGAGGGUGAUCGGCCACACUGGAGCUGAGACACGGUCCAGACUCCUACGGGAGGCAGCAGUAGGGAAUCUUCCGCAAUGGGCGAAAGCCUGACGGAGCAACGGCGCGUGAGUGAUGAAGGUCUUCGGAGCGGAAAACUCUGUUAUGAGGGAAGAACAUAUGUGUAAGUAACUGUGCACAUCUUGACGGUACCUAAUCAGAAAGCCACGGCUAACUACGUG